rnacentral:rRNA from 1 species
AGAUCGAACUAUAGAGUUUGAUCCUGGCUCAGAUUGAACGCUGGCGGCAUGCCUUACACAUGCAAGUCGAACGGCAGCACGGGAGCAAUCCUGGUGGCGAGUGGCGAACGGGUGAGUAAUAUAUCGGAACGUACCCAGUCGUGGGGGAUAACGCAGCGAAAGCUGUGCUAAUACCGCAUACGAUCUCUGGAUGAAAGCGGGGGACCGCAAGGCCU